rnacentral:sRNA from 2 species
AAGGCGGGAUGUGAAGCAAAGGAAAGGUGAAGGAAACAACGAGUGGCCGGUUGCAGGAGGCCAGGAACAAAGGUGACAACGUAUCUCCGUCAACGAUAAGUGAGUGACAGCGGAACGGACUUCCAGCUGAUGAAGGGAUCAGGCGGUUGCGGCAACCCCCAAGUGAACGACGGCAGGAUGAUUGAUAGAAGAGGAGUCAAUAAGGCUGGGUGCUAGAGAAAUAAGCGCUGGCGUGGGCCAAUGGCGCAGAAGCCCUGAGCUGCGCGGCAGUGUCCGCGAAUAUGUUGCUUGUAACAAGAUCCCAGAGGGAAGAAUCAUCGAUAAACUAUAUUCGCCGGCAAUAACAGUGCAGAGAGCAUGAAAACACGAGGCGCUGAGGCAGGAGGAUGCAGUUUGGCUUAACCUUGGGCCCACUGGAGUGGUCUGGUGCGCAUUUCUGAGGAAAUUCGCACGUUGCACGUUGUGGCCUCACACGAUCAACAGAAGCAAGCGACAGACUAGACCAGCACUCUAGAGGUCAUUUGGAAAAUUAUUUCAACCAAAAUGCAAAAGCCUUUUUGUGUGUAUAUGAUGUUGGUAACCCUGCCCUAGCUUGCACUUGGAUUGUAUGGGAAUAGUACACCAACGAGGGGCUUCUUCUGGUGCGAGUCUAUAAAAAGAAUUUAGGAUUC